GCUCGAUGACGAAAACAAUAAAAUAUGCAAAACGCAUUUCGAUGUCCCUUGGGCUCUGAGUUUUAUUUCAGGAUGGUCUGAGUAUUUGAUUUUUGUAUAACUAAAUGUGAAUUAUUAUAUUUAUUAGAACACUGUUUAAUGAGACAAUUACCUGGUUUUGAAUGCAUGGUAGCUAAAUACGCAAUUACUAGUGUGAGUCCAAGGUUACUGUGAGAGAUUACCAUUCUCUCUUUAUUCUUUUGAAGUCACUGCAAUGGGAAGCAUGAAAGAUGAGAGCUAAGGCUUGCAGCAUCACUGAUGGGAAUUCAGUGUUUAGAGAACACUUUGAAGUGUUGCUGGUACUACGGGUGGUUGCUAAUCAAAAGACUUGAAUUUCUAAAAUAUCUUUUCAAAUGUAGCUCCUUUUGACUUUCUUAAUUUUAUUUCUUCUUUUUAAAUUCUCAUGUAUUCUUAACGAAUUAAAGAAUAAGCCUUAUUUUAUAACACACUUUUCAUAUUCUCUGAGAAACAAUCUGACAUUUCUGAGAUGAUUUUAAAUUUUCUUGUUGUAGUAAAUAUAUUUUACUUAUAUUGGGAAAGUUGGAGACUGGGUAAAUAAUAUGUGUAAGGAUCGGAGAAAAGAUGGAUACCUUCCAUUUGUUCAAGUAGCAGAGGCACAGUUAUAUUCCAUAAGGCAAUUAACUAAAGCACCAAGCAGAUUCAUGCCAGAAAUUUAAAUAGCCAUAUAGAUAGACGCUAAAUUAGUGAGAGCAGUCUGCUCUACCAGGAUUUUAUCUGACUACUAUGAAGUCUCUGCCAGUUAAGGGAUCUGAGACAUCAAAAUGACAAAUGGAAAACAAACGAAAGCAAAAGAGUCAGAACCUGAGUCCCUGAAGCAGUGCAGAUGUAAGAACACACAGUAAAUGGAAACACUUCAGAAUUAAUACCGUGCUGGCGAGCAUCCCUGAUUCCCACACCCCACUCUUCCAUACGCCUCCAAAGCUCUGUAGUCAGGCCCCUCCUCCUGAACAUUCCUAAACAGGGCUGAACUGGGGAAUCAAUGUUCAUAUACACAAACCUAUGGAGGACAUUCUCACCCAAACCACCACUUGAGUUCAAGGCCACACUGAGCUACAAAAUCAAGUCCCAUCUCAACCUCACCGCCACCCCCCAAUGAAAUUUCUUAAUUGUACUGAAGCUAGUGUUCAGUAGCUAAUCUUUAGUAAUUUUAUUAACGAUAUCCCACAUUGUUUUGCUGAUAUUUAUACUUUUGCAAAAAUCAGUCUUUGUUUGAUUAAAUAUGUUUAAAACUGGUUUUAAUUGUUACCCACAGAAAUGAUAAGAAAUCAACCAGAUCUCUCCAAGAAGGGCUAGAGUUUUGUAUUUCCAGACCCAGGAAGGAAAGUAAUUCAGUAUAAAUAAACAGAGCUGUUCGUUUAAACAUAGAGGAAAAGAGCUUAGCAAGAGAUAAGAGCAUUUACAAAAUAGAAUUCUUGCCAAUUCAAAAAGGAAAGCACAAAGUCUGUGAGUCAAACAUGCUUGGCAAGUCUGAUAAACACAGGACGACUGUGGCUGGAGUAUAAUCAUCAAGUGGAGGGACAAUGCCAAUAGGUUCUAACAGAGUAUUCUUUAUAACCCAUAAAACCUUGAAACGAAAAUCUAAAACCUUCCUAUGAUCCACCAGUGUUUCUCUAUGAAGAAGUUCUAACUGGUGCACUGAUACGUGCCGAUAAUCUUCGUACUAGGGAAACAGGAGAACCUGAAGUUUGGAGCAAAUGUAUGACAGAAAACUCAAGACAAUCAUCCAAUCAGUACCAUAAUCAUCAAAAUAGAUAGGGAGAUGCAAUCACAUUGUCGAAGGUAGUGGUAUAGUGAACACAGUACUCCCACAGUACUCCCUUAGCACAUGCAAGGAUCUGGAUUAUGAUCACUAGCACGAAGAUUGAAAAUAAAGUUAAAUAGAGUAAUGAGAAUAUUUGCUAGACAAUCUGAA
rnacentral:lncRNA from 1 species